UCCCUCUCUCUCUCUCUCUCUCUCUCUCUCUCUCUCUCUCUCUCUCUCUCUCUCUCUCUCUAAAGCUAUAUAUAUAGAGAGAGAGUUGAGCUUCUGUGCUUUUAAAAAUACAUAAACUUUUGUCUCUGUAAUUUUUUAGUCAUCGGAUCGCCUUAAAAUUUGUGCAACACUACUAACGGUGUGUCCCAUUAAAGAGUUAGUGUCGGAUCGUUGAUACUAACCAUUAAUACCAAAAGCUUGAGCUGUUAGAAAUAUGCAACCAAUUCACUUACAGUAUAUAGAUACAGUGCCCACGGGUCUCGAUUGUGACUCGGCCCAAUCAGUCUCACGCCACUUCGAAUAUGACUUGGUCUACCCAGCCUCACACUAUUUCGAACAUGACUUGACCUAACAAGACCUCCCGCCACAGGGCAGAAUGCUGGUCCAUUUAAGCCAACAGUUAGUGUCGCACGAAUAUUGAGACAAUAUUCCGACAACUAAAAAAUUAAAAAUACAUUUAGUUCCUGUGUUUUUAGAAGUAUAGGAGCUCAACUCUAUCUAUCAAUCAAUAGGAUUUUCUUACUUGUAUUUGAAG
rnacentral:lncRNA from 1 species